rnacentral:lncRNA from 1 species
CGGGCUCCUGGCAGAUGCUCAUCCUUACAAUAUAAAAUUAAUGGCUGAAAAUAUCUGUAAUCAAUGUUGGUUCAUCUCCACCUUUUCCUAUUGUGCAGCAGAAAGAAAAAAAAAAAAAAGAUUAGCUAUCAACACAAAAAUGAUUUAAUAAUAUCCUAAGAUCAUGCGUGCUUCAAUGUAAUCUAUUAGCCAACUUCAAUUGUCAAGAAGUGGAAAAUGCACGGAUAAACAACUUAUAUGCAAAAUGUGCGUGAUAUAAGAACCCUUGCCCUAUUUGAAUUGAAGGCUGAAGGGUACUAAAACAGAGAGCAAAAAGUAUACAAAUUCUAUAUGCUGGCACAAUAACUCUUAAGAUGUAACAGUCUGUUCAUUAUGCCAUCAGCAGAGUACUCAAAUUAAAUACCCAGUGAAUUUAAUGACAAAAACUUAAAAUGUCAAGCAAAGUUGAAAAGCCACAAUCUUCAUUAUCAAAAGUAAAUAUGAUGUGCUCCGCAAAGUAAAGGCAUUGGGUUCACUCAUAAAACAGGAAGAUGUGUAAAACAGUGACAUUAAAAGUAAAGAAAGCAGAAGAAAGGAGUAUGAUAAUUGAUCACAUUAGUAACAGCACGAGGAAACAGAUUCCACAUCUUACUUGAGGGCUACAUUUUUUCGAUUAGUUCAACGAUCAGAUAUGUGUGUUACUUGAGAGAGAAAAGCAGAACCUAAAGUACUACUGCCAGCAAUCAAGAGGAAAACACAUAAAACUAGUAAACUGAUGGUCCUUUCAGAACUCCUCCUCUCUGAUAGCUAUUACCAAAAAGUUUUAUGAAGAAAACAGGAAAUUCAGCUAGCUGCUAAUCAAUAACAAUGAAUACAGGCUGGAAGUAUAGGUAGCAAGUGCACAAAACCUAUUUUUAAAGGAACCACAAAAAGAUGGCAGCCUAUGCAAUUUUUUAAACACUGUCACAACACAGCCAAUCAAGCACAAACUCCUACUAGGGCUGAUGGUACUCAGUACGUGUCAAUUCUAGGCAAAUAUUCUGCAGAGGGAAAGUACAGUAGAAUAAGUUCUGAUGCAAAAUUGGAUUCAAACAAGCAUUGUUACCAGAAACUCUUGCAUUUUCAACUAUCCAAUAUUCAGCAGAAAACAUCCAAAUGUACAGAAGAUAUUCAACUAAGAUAGCCUCUAUUUUCCAGGGUGACAAGUUUUUUGCUUUCCGCUAGAUAUUUCCAUCUCCUAAACAUUUAUCCAGAUGUUCAACUAAGAUAGCCUCUAUUUUCCAGUGUGACAAGUUUUGUAUGGUUUAUAUUCUAAACCAUUAAUUACAAGACAUUCAUUUUUUUUUUUUUGAGUAGAAAGUUCUGGUUAAUAUUUUUGUACCAAACAUGACAUGCACUUUAAAUUCCAUAACAACAUCUACCUAUGUCCUGCUGUCCCAUACCAACAACUAGCCACUGUUAAUACUACAACAACAACGACCCGGUAAAAUCCCACUAGUGAGGUCUGAGGAGGGCAGUGUGUACGUAGACCUUAUCCCUACCCCGAGGGAAUAGAGAGGUGGUUUCCGAAAGACCCUCUGCUCAAGAAGUAAAUUUUUCUUUAACCAAAAUAAUUAAGUUAUUUGGUCUCAAGUUAUUGUUUUAUGAUGGUGGUGUACGCCCCAACUUGCGUACGCCUUGAUUAAUUCCACCAGGUAUAUGCUACUUCCCACAAGCACAAGUACCAGGUUACUCUACAAGCACAAGUACCAUGUAACUCUACUUAAGCAGAUGAGAAGAUAUCACCUAGUGGUUUUUUGCCUAGAUUAGAAUUUUGAAACUUUGACCUCGUGGUUCUUCUCCCACUUCAUCAACCACUAGGCCACACUCUUGAGGGCCAGUCUCAAGUCAUAUACUAAAGGCUAACAACACGAUUUCCUCUGAAUAUGACUGAAUUUGGAGAGAAAAUUCAUCAAAAGUUGAUGUGCUCACAUAACGAAGGAAUGAAAAAGAAAGAUAGCAAAGACCAAAAUUGAUGUCCUCUAAAUCAAGCCCAUAUAAAAUUGAUCCCUCGCCUACCUAUCAAGCCCAUAUAUAAUAUUUAGGUUAAUAUUAGAAUGAAGAACAAUUAAAAAUAUCAAAUUAAGUACAUACAAUAUGAGUACAAUCUAAAUAUCAAACCAAUUAAACGGAAAAUUAACAAAAACUAGAUCCAAAACUAAAAGAAAGGAGAAAUAAAACCAUUAAAACGGAAAUUGGGGGAAAAUUACUAUACUACCAAGCAUGUAUGAACCCUAGCAAACAAAAGAGAGAAAUCAACAACUAAACCAGUAAAAUCGGCAGCUAAAUCAGUAAAAUUCACCGUUAAAAUCAGUGAAAUCAACGCCUAAACUAAUGAAAUUGACGGCUAAACCAGUGGAUUCGAAGGCUAAAAUCAGUGAAUUCAACGGCUAAACCAAUAAAAUCAACGGCUAAAAUCAGUGAUUUAAAUUAAUCCACACCCAGAUACACAUAUGCACGUCUUAAGUCAGUGAAAUCACCGGGUAAACCAGUGAAAUCAACGGCAGAAAUCAGUAAAAUCAACGGCUAAAUCAGCGAAAUCAAUAAUUUAAACUGAUCUUCAUCCAAUAAACACACAUGCAUGCCUUAAAUCAGUGAAAUAGCUGUUAGAGUAGGCAUACGUCAUAGGUUCGAGUCUCACCACCACCAUUAUAAAAAAAGAAUCUCUACGCGCUUGGCCAAUGAAAAAAAUGAAUGAAGCAUACACGUGAGGGGUGUGUUGAAGAGACAAUUAAGUAAAUAAAGUGUGCUUUCUCUAACAGCUUAACCUUUUAGAUGAGAUAGUUGCACACUUCAACAAAAAGUCUUACCAUAACCAAAGUACUCAUAAUACUAACCAAAUGAGCAUUUCUAAGAUUUUAAAUGAAAGGACGACAAUAAACUAUAAAUUUCCAUAGUGCAAAACAAUACGAGGCUCACCAGUACAAUCAACUCCACGAGUUCUAGAUUGGGAAGUCCUCGUCUAUGUCAGUAGAUGUCUCUGUAAAACAAUAAUAAUUAUAAAGUGAUUUAGCUAGCUUAUUGAGUUGAUAGCGCUUACCAACAACCAUUUUAUAUGAAGACAAGCCAGGAAACAUGCCAGUACAUAGUAUUCAUAAACCAUAGUUUUUUUUUAGAGUGUAUAUUCAUAAAACAUAAUAGAAAUGUGUUUCCCUAAUAACGAUAAAUGUGCAUAUAUUGUAUCAUGAAUAAAUCAUGUACAAGGUAACAAUACAGUGUCAUAAUCAACUACGUACAUUGAGAGGUUUACUAGAGCGAACCAAGUAAAGGACAUGCUUCAUACAUCGAGGGAUAACCAAAACAAGUUGCGGAGCGUCUUGGCAGGGGAGUCAAAUCAUGGGAGUGGUCCUCACUCAAGGAAUAUCGACAGUGGUAUACAAGUUCUACUUUCUACUAACGAGUGUUAUAACUGUAAAAUACAAAGUAUCCAUAUCAAAAAUAUUCAAACUGAUACAACUCAGUUAUUAGGUCAUAUCAUAUCAAGCUAAAUAACAAAUUUUAGCAAAAAUACUUGCCACGAUAAAUAAAUUUCAAAUAUUGGUAAAUUCAUUUCAGUAAUUGUAGUUACAUCUUCAGCAACGGAAAAACAUCUCCAUUGACGACAAAAGCAUUUAAAAUAACGGUAAAGCAUCUCAAAAAACAUUCUAGUAUAGAACAUCAACAUAGUUCAGACCUGUUUCAAACAUCAACAUAGUUACAAAAUAGUUUCAUAUAAUUUAAAAGACUUGGUCUCAAUAUUUUAAGUUAUACGAUAAGAUAUUUCGUCUCUAAAAUCCAAACCAAUACAAUAUGAGUGUAAAUUGUAGAAUACAAAUUUUGGCAAGUUAUGAAUCUAUAGAUUUUAUCCAUCUUGUUGCUUGGAUACUAUGGAAAUGAAUACCAAAAUAAUUUGAAAAAGAGAAAAACAACAAACUAUGAAGGUCCUAUUUUGCACCGUAAUAUUAAUAGCAUUAACACCAAUUUUCACCAUCAUGGUGGUGGCCAAACUUCAAAAAAUAUUCCAGUGACAACAAAUGGUGUUGCAGUGCCAAUUUUUAUCACAGUAGAGUCGAACCCCAAGGUAUGGUAGUUUUAAGAGGUAUAGAAGUUUGAAUUUUUUGAGGAACUUUUGACACACAUUGGUAGGCUAAAGCUAGGAUUCAAGGAUCCAUCACAAAAGUCAAGGUUACAAAGAUGGAGUUCAAGAUCUAAGAGGACUUUCUUCUCACAUUUUGCUUUCUCUUUGCACCCACGAACUUUUGUGGCUUUCGUACUUUUUAUUUGAAUUGAACCAUUGCUAUAGAGUGGCUUUCUUGUCGUAGGAUUUAGAUGAAUCUUAUGAUUUAACUAUAUAGAUUAAUUUCUUCAUUGCAUCUAUUGUUGAUUUGAUUGACGUUUCUUAGAGCAAUUUCAAACUUGUAAGUGAAAGAAGUGUCUGAAUCCUUUACUUCUUGAUUGAUCAUAAUUUAUUUGUUCGUCUUAAAUGGUAGUAGAGACUAGUCAUGCCCUUACUUGUGAUCAUAUAUACCUCGAAAGGGUCCAUAUCUAAUCGUCAGACCUAGAGUUAGUUAGUCAACCAUCUACAACACAUAGAGCGUAAUACCUUUACUAUUUGUAUAAUCGAGAGAGUUACACUUAGUGAAUAUGGUACAAUAAUUUGGUGUAAUCAAGAGAGGCGCUCAUAACUUAGAAAGUAAUUAGAUGAAGGAGGAAUGGAGACCAUAUGUUAAUCAUAGGUGAUAUCAAUAUCGAGCUUGUUAAAUUAACUAACUACUUUAAUUUUUUUCCAGUUAAAUUUAAUUUUAGAUUAUUUGCCUUGGAAAUGAAUGUAUUGACGCAUACAUUCAAGGGGAUGCGUCAUGAUGCAUGUUAUUUGCGAAUGACAUAGUACUGAUUGACGAGACGCGGGGCGAAAUUAACCCUAGGCUAGAGGUUUGGAGACAAACCCCGAAGUCUAAAGAUUUCAGGUUGCGCAGGUCUAAAACAGAAUACUUGGAGUGCAAGUUAAGUGACGUAACUCAGGAGGCUGACGUGGAAAUGAGGCUGGAUUCACAAGUCAUCUCUAAGAUAGGAAGUUUCAAGUACCUUAUGUCAGUAAUCCAAGGCAAUUGGAAGAUCGACGAUAAUGGCACACAUCAUAUUGGAGCGGGGUGGACGAAAUGGAGGCUAGCACCUAGCGUCUUGUGUGACAAGAACGUGCCACGAAGAUUUAAAGGUAAGUUAUACAAAAUAAUGAUUAGACCGACCAUGUUGUAUUGGGCGGAAUGUCGAUCACUCAAGAACUCUCAUGUUCAAAAGAUGAAAAUAGCGGAGAUGAGGAUGUUGAGAUGGAUGUGUGGGCAUACCAAUAGAUAUAGGGUCAGGAAUGAAGAUAUUCGGGAUAAUGUAAGCGUAGCCUCCGUGGUGGACAAGAUGCGGGGUAUGAAGCUGAGAUGGAUCAGGCAUGUGAAAGAUGAGACGUCCGGAUGCCCCAGUGAGAAGGUUCGAGGGAUUGACAAUGAUGGGUCUAAGGAGAGGUAAAGGUAGGCCUAAGAAGUAUUGGGGAGAGGUGAUUAGGUAGGACAUGACGCAUUUUUAGUUUACCGAGGAUAGGGCCCUUGAUAGGAGAGUGUGGAGGUCGAGAAUUAGGGUAGAAGGUUAGUGGGCAGUUGAGCGUCUUUUCUUUCAUUCUAGUAGCAGUAACAUUAUUCUCGUAAUCCAUUAUUCUUAGAUUCCUAUUACUACAUGAUAUUGCUUUUGUUUUGGUUUUCUAUUAUCUUGUUGUUGUUAUUGCUUCUUUGACUUUUUCACUAAUGCAUUUCUUUUUCUAUACUGUUGUGAUAAUGCAUGUUUGCUUUGAGUCGGGGGUCUAUUAGAAACAAUCUCUACCUGCAAUAGAUAGGGGUAAGGCUGCAUACUCACUACCCUCCCAGACCCCACUUGUGAGAUUACACUGGGUAUAUUGUUGUAGUUGUUAAAUUUUAUUUUAGAAUCCUUCACAAUCCUAUCUAAUUUCUCAAGUCGUGUUUAGAAAACAUCCAUUAGUUAAUUAGAAACCCAAUCCUCAUGAAUUGACAAUGAGUUAUACUAUUUUUGACAAGCACAAACUUUAUCUUUUGUACAAUGAAUUUACGCUCGUCAGCAAGGUUCAUCACUCACAUUAGAAUCAUGUAUAGCUCAAGUAUAUCAUCCAGGAGCAAUCCAAAGCACUUUCUUUAACCAAUCUAUAACACAUGAUAUUGAUUUAGUGUCAAAAUGUUUAGGAAUAUUAUCAUUGUAUCCCUAUAUAGACUCAAACAGAACAAAUUCACUAUACCGACCCUUUCAGUUUCAUGUUUGACCUAAAACACAUAUCAAAAUGGAAAUCUCUUCGUUAACCAAAGCUUUUCUAGAUGUUCUUCUUUCCCAGUUUUAUUUCCAGCAAGCCCAUUUUGAUAUGUAUGCUAGGUCCCCCCCCCCCCCCCCACCACACACACUUUGGUUUUUUAGCUAAUGGCGUAAAUGCCCUUAUUAAUCUGGUAUUACAAACCUCCUUUAUGAAAAUCUAACUUAAGAACAAGUGCCAACUCGUGGACCAAAAUAUAAUGAUACUUGGCUCGCAUUUCCUCUUCAUCUUUCCAUGUAGCCUCUUCAUAGAUGUGGUUCUUCCAUAUGACUUUUAUUGAUGCAAUGUCUUUUGAUGACACUUCCUUACUACCACUACAAGAAAUAAGAUUUUGAGUGACGACGUUCUAUGGUGACCUCUUAAGUCGCCACCAAAAGUAAGUGCCUAGUCACCACAAUUUCAGGGGUGAUCUAUAUGUCACCGUUUUGAGUAGCAAUCUACCUUAAAUCUAUUUUGUGGCGCAUUUAUUUACUUUUUUGGAGAGCUUCGCCGCUACAAAAUCUAAGUUGUUUUAUUAUUAGCUUUGUGGCGACUAAGUUUGGUACAAAAAGUAAACAAAUGCCCCACAAAAUAAAUUUAAGGUAGGUCGCUACUAAAAACAAUGACGUAGAGUUUGCCGCUGAAACCAUCACUUAUUGUGGUAACUCGACACUUACUUUUUGUGGUGACUAAAGAGGUUGUCACAGGACAACGACAACAACAAACCCAGCUUAAUCCCAUAUGUGGGAUCUGGGGAGGGUAGUGUGUACGCAGUCUUACCCCUGUCCUAUAAAGGUUGUCACAGAACGUCGUCAUUAAAAAACCUUAUUUCUUGUAGUAUACCUAUCAGUAAUAGCCACAAGCAUUUCCUCAUAAGACAAAUAAAUCAAGUUGGAUAGCCAAAACCAAAUAAGAGGGUACGUUGUAUAUUUCCAUAAUAUAAACAUAUGAAAUAUUGGAUGAAUGAGAAUCAACUCGGGUGAAAAUGAUAAAUGAUAAGGCAUGACUCCCACUCGAGAAACUAUCUCAUAUGGCCCUUUAAAUCUCAAACUUAACUUCCUUCUUUUCUAAUUCGCAUCACGCCCUUCAUAAGUGAAACCCGUAAAAAUACUCAAUCUCUGAUAAGGAACACUAUGUCCCUUUCUCCACCUAUGUGCACGAGACUUUUGUUUCCUUUGUAUAUUGAACAAUCUUUGCUUGAUCAACUGAACCUUAUCAAUAGCUUCCCAUGCUAGGUUUAAUCCCUACACCUUAGCCUCUCAGGCUCCAAACCAUUUGAUAGGGAACGAGGAAUCCAACCAUACAAGAACUCGUAUGAAGCCAUCUUAAAUACUUGCCCCAACACUAUUAUAGUAAGCGAAUUCAGUUACAAAUAAGUAUUCGUCCGGACUACCUCUAAAAUCAAGGAUACAAGCUAUUAACAUUUUCUCCAAGAUCUGUGUAGUACACUCAGAUUGUCAUUCAUCAGUGGAUGAAAUGUGGUACUGAGGUCUGCUCAUGUACCCAAAGUUUCUUGGAAAGAUUUCCAAAAGCGUUAAGUGAAUUGUGACCUUUGUGAAAGAUGAUGGGCAUUGUAUCCUCUGUGGAGUCGAAAAUUUUGUUCAUGUAUAUCCGUGUAUAUCUCGAUCUAGUGUACAUAGUUUCAACAGGUAAGAAAUAUGCUGACUUUGUUAGCCAAUUCACAACUACUUACAUAAUAACCUUUAAGGUCCCAAUGUAGCAUAGUGCAACACACAUGGUAAUACUUUACCAUUUGUAAUAGUCUUGCAAAUCGUUGAAGCUCGGCCUUAACCUACUCACAAGUUAAACAACUAGAAACAAAGUUUAGUAACAUCUUUCUUCAUCCCCUCUCACAAAUAACAAUCACUUCAUGUCAUAGUACAUCUUAGUGGCCCCGGAACGUAUAGUGUAUCUAUAGGUGUGAGCGUAAUCAAGAGUAACUUCAAAAGGUCCGUCAUACUUUUUUUUUGGUGAAGUUAAAAGGUCUGUCAUACUUAGAUAUCAAUCCCCUAUGCAAUGCUUUGCUUCUGAUUUUCUUUUAAAUCUGGAGUCAAUUUUAGCAACACCUUGUCACUGACAUCGAACUCUAAGCUUUCAGUCAACAUACUUUUCUAUGCAUUUGAAGCUUUCCUCAAGCCGUCUCGAGCCUCCUUAAGCAUCUCUUGGUUGUGUCUUGCAUACUUAUAUGUUGUGGGAAACUUUCCACCAGUCUUAUCCUUGACAAAUUCAAUAUGAUAGUAGGUUGUUGACCAACACAAUCUCUAAGAGACUCAUCUCAAUUGCUGACUACCCGUUCAGAUUAUAGUAAAAUUGGGCAGUGUGUAAUAACUCCCCAAUUUUUUUGAUUUGCUGUCACAUAAUGCCAAAGGCAUUCUUCCAACAAGUGGUUUGUUCUCUCGAUCUGCCUAUUAGUCUGUAGGUAAUUGCCAGUUAAAAACUCUAAGUAUGUGCCCAUGAUGUUAAAAACGGACAUCCAAAAUCGACCAAAUGAAUUGAGCAUCUAUAUCACUCACAAUGUCAUGAGGCACACCGAAAUACUUCAACAUAUUUCGGUGCAAAUUAGCAACAACAUACCAAGGUUCGGGAUGGAUAUAACAUACUUUGAGAAUUUACUAAAACCAAGAUUGAAGCUAUUCCAUUAACUUUCGGCAAAGUCCACCAAUGAAGUCCAUGGAAACAUACACCCAUGCCUGUUCCAACGUAGGUAGAGGUUGUCACAAACUAGUUUCCUUUCUCCUUUUAAUAUUGUCAUGUUGGCAUACAAAACAAGUUUGACAUACGACUCUAUGUCAUCUUCCAUUUUUGGCCUAGGAACAAGAAAACAAUGCCAACAUAUUUUCCACACCAGGAUGCCUAGGCCAUGGAGUAUCAUGCGUUUCUUUCAGUAAGUCACGCUGCAGACCACCCAUUUGAGUGAAGAAAAUUCUCCAUCCCUUGAAAUACAGUAGAUCAUCCUCGAUUCAAUACUGUCUAACAAUGCCAUUGUUCACUAAUUCCAUGAAUUUCCCAUGCUUAGGAUCAUUGGUUGUAAUAGUUUUAUGUUACCCAACAUAUUAGAUUCUACUAUAGCGAUAGGGUAGAUAGUAGCAAAUACCUUAAUUGACUAAGAGCGUUCGCCACUUGAUUGUACUUGCUAUACUUGUGCUCACACAAAGCCAUAUUGCAUCAGGAAUAAUUUCUAUCUAGCUUGAUUUUGGGACAACUUUCUUUGUGUGCUAAAGAAAACUUCACCCACAUAAUUGGCCCGCACACAAAACUUGGUUCCCAGCAAAAACGUAUGCCAUGUUUUCAAGCAAUGCAGUCUCUGUUUGAGCAACAUGAGCAUUUUUAGGUGGUCGACCAUGCAAAGAGUAACUCACGGGCGUGUCCAAGCCUAUUACAAUAGGAACACUUAGGCCGAGACCUUCCAAAACGACCUCCACCUCGUCUAUUCUCCAUAGUCUGGGAUGCGAGAACAGAGGAGCCAGCUGUCUGUGAUAAGAUCACUAUGUGACUGGGCGUUGCAGCAAAGCGAAGUAAUCGUGACUGGUCACGCACUGAAUCAAGGUCAUUAGGAAGUCCAGCGAGUGUAAGAACUAGAAACAUUUUUUGUUGUUGCUCUUGUUGCUUUUCAACACUAGCAGAAACUGACAUCAACUUCUCAAACUCCUCCAUGACUGCCUGUACUUGUCCCAAGUAAGUCGACAUUCCAAUUCCUAUUUCUUCAAAUUUGUCAUCCGCGAUAUCACAACAUAGAAAUGAGAUAUAUCUUUAGUGUAUAAAGCACGAGCCUUUUCCCAAACUAAAUGACAUGCCUGGAAUGGACGAAACAAAGGUAUCAACUUGAAAUUAAUAGAUCGCCACAAAAUAUUACAUAAAUGAGCAUCGAUUUUUUCCCACUGUGCUUUGGCCUUUUCAUCUCCCUCACUACCCUUUUUGGUUAAGUGAUCUUGAACACCUUGACCUUUACACCACAACUCCACAGACAAAGCCCGAGAUAAAUAAUUUGAACUUCCAAGUAGGGGUUCAAAAGUAAUCAUAAAGGCUGAAUUUCCAACUCCACUAUUUUUGGAACCAAAAGCAUCAAGUCCGAGAGACAUGGUUGGAUCAAAUAUGUACGAAGUCACAAAAUUGGUGGCAAAGUUGGUCCAAAAUUAUGUUAGGUCAUAGAAACAGUUAAGAAGCAGCACAAAAAAUACACUGCAGCCGCCGAGAACUGGAAUCUAUCGCCGAAAUUUGCAAAUAGUCGCCGGAAAAUAAAAAAGUUGUCGAAAUGUGAUGAAACUUGAAUGGGUAGAGUUGAUAAAGCCUUGCGAACAAGCUGUCUCAAAGAAGGUCGGCCAAAAUAUGGCUGGAAGAGGUCCCACACGCCGUGUGGGAGGGAAACAAAAACCUCUAAUGAGCGCGUGAAGACUCUAUUGCCGGAGAUUCUUUUUAGGGUUUGGUUGCCGAGGGGUGAGGGACCUUGUGGUUGUGUUGUCUUUUGCACAACACCACCAGAAAGUUUUUGACGAAAACCAGCCCUAAAAAGAUCGCCGGAAUUGAAGCACAACGAUUGUUUUGGCUGGAUUUCUUUCUCGGAUGUUUUCUCAUUGCCGCUCUGAUACCAUGUGAGAAAUAAUACACGGAAAAAUUAUAUUAUUGACUUAUUAACAAUGAUACAAUGAGUCAUAUAUAUAAUGCAUGUUCUACUCCUACUUCAUAUGGGACUAGGAUUAUUUACAUAAAACUAUUUAACAAAUAUAAUGAAAUAACAUGCCAGUAGGGGCAAGGGACAUACGAUAUUCUGUCUUCAAAAAAUUCACAUAUAGUUGACAUCGCCAAUUUCUUGACCACAUUUUAG